CUGGGGGGGUGUAAUCACGUGUUCACCUUUCUGUGGUUUACCUGUGUGAUGAUUCCAGGAGGAAGGAACGUGAGCUGUGUAGGAAGUGAAAAAGUGAGAUGGGACCUGUGGGAGUCCAGGUGUGGUGGCUGCACUGGAGUCAAAGAGUGAGUGAGUUCAUUCAAAGUGGGUUAACUCUACCACAGAUCAGCCAUUUCUGUGUGAACCACAAUAUGCUGCGGAGGAGAUUUCUCCCGAUGGAGGCAAGGAGCUGAGAGUCGACCGGGGGACGGUGUCCUGGUGGAUGGAGGCGGGGACAGAAGCUG